AUUGAACGCUGGCGGCAGGCCUAACACAUGCAAGUCGAACGAGUGGCGGACGGGUGAGUAAUGUCUGGGAAACUGCCUGAUGGAGGGGGCUAACUACUGGAAACGGUAGCUAAUACCGCAUACCAUCAGAUGUGCCCAGGUGGGAUUAGCGAGUUGGUGGGGUAACGGCUCACCAAGGCGACGCUCCCUAGCUGGUCUGAGAGGAUGACCAGCCACACUGGAACUGAGACACGGUCCAGACUCCUACGGGAGGCAGCAGUGGGGAAUAUUGGACAAUGGGCGAAAGCCUGACGCAGCCAUGCCGCGUGUAUGAAGAAGGCCUUCGGGUUGUAAAGUACUUUCAUCGGGGAGGCGUUACCCGCAGAAGAAGCACCGGCUAACUCCGUGCCAGCAGCCGCGGUAAUUC
rnacentral:rRNA from 1 species